UAGGGAAUCUUCCGCAAUGGGCGAAAGCUUGACGGAGCAACGCCGCGUGAGUGAUGAAGGUCUUCGGAUCGUAAAACUCUGUUAUUAGGGAAGAACAAAUGUGUAAGUAACUAUGCACGUCUUGACGGUACCUAAUCAGAAAGCCACGGCUAACUACGUGCCAGCAGCCGCGGUAAUACGUAGGUGGCAAGCGUUAUCCGGAAUUAUUGGGCGUAAAGCGCGCGUAGGCGGUUUUUUAAGUCUGAUGUGAAAGCCCACGGCUCAACCGUGGAGGGUCAUUGGAAACUUGAAAACUUGAGUGCAGAAGAGUAAAGUGGAAUUCCAUGUGUAGCGGUGAAAUGCGCAGGGAUAUGGAGGAACACCAGUGGCGAAGGCGACUUUCUGGUCUGUUACUGUCGCUGAUGUGCGAAAGCGUGGGGAUCAAACAGG
rnacentral:rRNA from 1 species